rnacentral:lncRNA from 10 species
CCAGGAGUGCCCAGUUUCCUGUUUUCUCCCUCUUUCAGUCCAGUGAGAGAGACAUGAUGGCCCAGCUUGAAAAAGAAAUUGAGGAUAGCAAGUGUAACAUACCAAGCAUUCCACGAGCAGUGUCCCUCUAGGUUCUCUGAUUGGCUGAAGCUACUCUAAGCCAAGAGAUCAAAGAAGCUGAUAAUGUAGAAUGUAAGUUUGUCUCCUGGGCCACAAUGGAAAGCAGAGACUGUAGCUGGAGGAGUGAAUAGAGGAUAUGCAGCUCUGGUAAUUCUCAGUACAAUUCCCAGUGGUCCACUCUGCAGAAUGAACCAAGUUCCAUUUUGCCCAACUUCUGGCAGUCCACAUUUGGACUGUGAGCUCACCUACAGAUAAAUCGUACGUGGAUUGAUGCAGUAACUGGAUUUGUAGCUGCUAAAUCUUAUUUAAGUGAGGACCUGUCCAGUACAUGUGAAGACCACCCAUCCACUGAAAGUGAUAAGUGAAGCUGAAUCAAUACUAGACUGAAUCAAUACUGAGCUGAAUCAAUACUUUCCCAAUUUUGAGGAAAUCUUGGAAAAUCUCUGAGAAAUGUGGUAGUAAUUAUUUUGAAGAAUUGGAAAACUUUAUAGCUGAUUAUGCUAUGUGUGGAAGAUACAACAGGAUUAUAAGAGAGAGAAGACAAUAUCCUUGCUGUGUCCAGAAGGCUUUAGCCGGGGUGUCCUACUGAGAGAUGACAAACUUAAGGUUUUUCUCUUCCCAGACAUUACUGGACAACUAGCUAUGUAAUUAGGUCUUAUGCCGAAAAGACUGAAAGGAAAACAUCUCAGAUCUAGGAAUGUGAUCAAGAAAGAAGGCUGGUUAAAGAAUAACAUGGGGAAAAUGAAUGCAGUGAAAUGGUUCACGCACAAGUUCUAGGAAUUCAGAGUGCAACAGCAGAAAUGCGAUUUUUGUUAGAUAUUUCAGAAAGUGAUGUGAGUCCCUGAGGUCAUACUGCAGCGUUCAGGUUCUGUUUGGCCUCCUGCACGAAGCUUUCCUUGAUUGGAAAAGCUGCAUACUCUGAAGCACAUCGCAUGUGUCCUGUCUGUAGUUCAUUUCAUUUCCCCAGAUUUGUUAUCAUCCACCAUCACUCAUACAAGCCUACCUUCUUCAUGCCAACCUUUGUAAUCUUUCUACCUUGCUAACCUGGUCAUGUCAAGGACCAGCUAAUAAAUAGCAAAGUUGUACCUUGAGCCAAGGUAUCUUGACUCUUAGUCCAGUGCUCUUUAUAUACCUCUGAAGUCUUAUUUGAGCUUCAAAAUUAUGAGUCUGUGCUCUCAAGAUUUUUUUGAAAAUGUACUUAAUGUUGCCCCUAAGCUUUUAUGAGAAAUAAUAAAGUUCU